rnacentral:rRNA from 1 species
AUUGAACGCUAGCGGGAUGCCUUACACAUGCAAGUCGAACGGAGUGGCGAACGGGUGAGUAAUGUAUCGGAACGUGCCCAGUCGCGGGGGAUAACUACGCGAAAGCGUAGCUAAUACCGCAUACUAUUGGAGCGGCCGAUAUCGGAUUAGCUAGUAGGUGGGGUAACGGCUCACCUAGGCGACGGUCCCUAGCUGGUCUGAGAGGAUGACCAGCCAAACUGGAACUGAGACACGGUCCAGACUCCUACGGGAGGCAGCAGUGGGGAAUAGUGCACAAUGGGCGCAAGCCGGAUGCAGCCAUGCCGCGUGUAUGAAGAAGGCCUUCGGGUUGUAAAGUACUGUCAGCGGGGAGGCGUUACCCGCAGAAGAAGCACCGGCUAACUCCGGGCCAGCAGCCGCGGUAAUAC